UACGGAGGGGGCAAGCGUUGUUCGGAAUCACUGGGUGUAAAGGGUGCGUAGGCGGUCCGUUAAGUCUGAUGUGAAAGCCCUGGGCUCAACUCAGGAAUUGCAUUGGAAACUGGCGGGCUGGAGUACGGGAGAGGGAAGCGGAAUUCCUGGUGUAGCGGUGAAAUGCGUAGAUACCAGGAGGAACACCGGUGGCGAAGGCGGUUUCCUGGCCCAGUACGUGACGCUGAGGCACGAAAGCGUGGGGAG
rnacentral:rRNA from 1 species